GCGUCAGUAUUGCAACGGUUCAGCACGCUCUUCCGGAAAGAGUGAGGUCUGGGUUCGCAUCCCGGCUGACGCA